rnacentral:misc_RNA from 1 species
UGGUGCCGCUGCACUUCAUCGGCUACGCCUCACCUCUCGUUCUCUCUGGCACCUCUGCUUUGUGCGUGCUGCUGCGUAGUUGCUACACGUUCCACGUAUCCACGCUCAGGAGCCUCUAGCACACCAGGUCCAUUGUCCAACGGCAAUCGCAAUCCAGGAACAUGGCGGACUCUUCGUGGACGUCUGCUGCUGCCGCUUCGGCGGCUACCGCUGCCCCCGCCUUUGAUUUCCAACCCCUCCAGAAGAGCAGUGUCGACCUCUUUGCUACGGCGCCGCAGGUGAAGAAGCUCACUCGGCGUGAGAAAGACAAGAUGCUGCGCGAGCUGGAGGUGAAACGAGCCAAACAGCGCGCCGUCGCUGACUCCAAUGACGCGGCCGACAAGGGUAGGAAGGGGCAGCCGAGGCAGAGCGACAGGAGCGCCGCGGUGGCGGAGGUCGUACGCUCCGCCACUACCUCGUCCUCGUCCGGUGACGCCAGUGAUGCCGGAAACAAGGGUGAGAGGAAGAAAGGUCUCUUCGAGACCGUUUUCGACACAAAGGAGGUGGAACAAGAGCUCGCCGCCCAGGAGGAUCGCCGCAACCGGAAGCGCUCGAAGAAGCAGGUGCUCCGACACGCACUGCACUCCAACGAAGAGGAGGACGCACGCACGGUCUUCGUGGGCAAUUUACCGAACACCAUCCACAAGCGCGAUGUGGAGAAGAUUUUCAAGUCAUGCGGCAGCAUCACGGCGGUCCGCAUCCGCUGCCAGGCGCUAGAGGAGCUCGACGAGAAGCACCAAAAUCUGGGUCGCGCCGUGCGUGUACUGCGCGGCGAAAUCAAGAAGGACGCUAAAUACAGUGCAACGGCGUACGUCCUCUUCGACUCAGCCAAAUCUAUCGUAUCGGCCCUGGAAAAGAACGGGUUGGUCUUCCACAACCGCCACCUGGUCGUGACGACAAUGGACGUCGAGAGUCGUGCGUACCCGCCGGAGACGUCCAUCUUCCUCGGCAACGUGGCCUACAACACGACGGAGGAGGAUGUGUGGAGCUUCUUUCAGGAGCACGGCAUCGCAGAUGUGAAGCGAGUCCGCCUGGUGCGGGAUCGCGAGACAGGCGACUGCAAGGGCUUCGGUUACGUGGAGUUUAUGCAUGCCUCAUCUGUCCAACCUGCCAUAGAGACCCGCGGCGACAAGCUUAAUGGGCGCGAGCUGCGCAUCGUGCACGUUAACAAGUCAAAGGAGGUGAAGGUGGCGACGAAGAGCCGACGCGAGAAGCGACGCAGUGAGCACGCCGGCGGCCGUGUCAGUGCAGAGGAGCGCAAGCGAUCCCGCAGCGGAGGCGACGCUGACGGUGGCAGUAGAGGCAGCCCAGACUACUCCCACGUCAAGAAACCGCGCACCGAGUCCGACCUUCCUUCGUGGGCGGGCUUAACAACAAACCCGCGGCGCAAGAUGCCGAAGGACCUGCGGCCGCUUGUGGAGGGCAAGGUAGAGUUCAAGCCGCGCGGCCCACGCGCGCCAGUGAAGCGGAAGAAGCGCAACCCAGAGAAGUAAGGGCACCCCCGCGCGGAGACGAGCUGGAGCUGAACUGUGGUAGCCGGCCGCCGAUGCACCGAGUGAGCUCGGCGAGAUAGGAACGACAGAUGGCUUCGAACAGUCAUGCUUUGAUAGCCGAAAAAAAAAAACGAAGAGAGGCGGACUUUGAGAUGCACGGUAUGUGUGUACCCUACCAAUGACAGAGGACAUCACCCGACCUGAAAAGAGUCGCUGAGCGCGGCCGUCCGUGUAACGUGCUAAGCAGGUCAUCUAAGGUGGUAUCCUGCAUUGCUUCUGUUAAGAAAUCAUGCGUCUUGACCUCGAUUAAGGGAGUGCAACUAAUUACGAUACAAAGAAGCAAGAAGCAAAACGUGCGGUGACAACGGCAUGGCGAAUCCCUCUCGUGUCCUACGUGUCGACUUCUUCUUCACGACCCGUCAGCGGCUUGCUGCUCGUGGUGUGAACAAGAGGAUCACCGGGCGGAUCUAGAGUUCAUGGAGAGCCAUGCGCGUUUGGACGCCGUAGCUGCUGCCCCUUCGUUCUCAAGCCAAAUACGAGACAGACUUCACCGCCGCCAUGCGAUUGAAGCGUGUGGCGUAUAGUACCUUCUUCGGCUGCUGUUGAGAAACACAGAAGUCACAAGGCACACACACACACACACACACACACUACUUCUAACGCUCCGCCCUCUCAGGACUUCGACUUUAUGCCUCUUGAACUCCUCCUCCGGCGCUUUCCUCUUCUUUUUUUCAUCGGUGCCCACUUCAUCUACCGUCUCUAUCCUCUUUCAAUGACUAACCUCUCAACACUAUGACGAGGAAG